AUUGAACGCUGGCGGAAUGCUUUACACAUGCAAGUCGAGCGGCAGCGCGGGGCAACCUGGCGGCGAGCGGCGAACGGGUGAGUAAUGCAUCGGAACAUGUCCAUGUCGUGGGGGAUAGCCCGGCGAAAGCCGGAUUAAUACCGCAUAAGCCCGAGAGGGGAAAGCAGGGGACCGCAAGGCCUUGCGCGAUUGGGUUGGCCGAUGUCCGAUUAGCUUGUUGGUGAGGUAAAGGCUUACCAAGGCGAUGAUCGGUAGCUGGUCUGAGAGGAUGAUCAGCCACACUGGGACUGAGACACGGCCCAGACUCCUACGGGAGGCAGCAGUGGGGAAUUUUGGACAAUGGGGGCAACCCUGAUCCAGCCAUUCCGCGUGAGUGAAGAAGGCCUUCGGGUUGUAAAGCUCUUUUGUCCGGAGCGAAACGGUUACGGUGAAUAUCCGUGACUACUGACGGUACCGGAAGAAUAAGCACCGGCUAACUACGUGCCAGCCGCCGCC
rnacentral:rRNA from 1 species